CCUGUGCGACAGAGUGAGACUCCAUCUCACAAAAAAAAAGACAUUAUUCUCAUGAAAACAGUCAUGACAGUCAUGAACAAGUAGUCCUAUUUGUACAAAAUGAAAUACAAAUGACUAAUAAAUAGGUAAAAAGAUAUUCAACUUCACCAAUAACAAAGGAAUGUAAGUUAGAAAAAAAGAAAUGUAAUUUUCACUCAUCAGAGUAACAAACUUUUAUCAUAUCAAAUAUUGAUGAUGUUGUAAAGAAAUGAAUACUCUUUUUUACAGCUUAGUAGUAUUCCAUGGUAUACGUAUAUUCUGUAUUUUCUUUAUCCACUCAUUGGUUGAUGGGCACUUAGGUUGAUUCCAUAUCUUUGCAAUUGUGAAUUGUGCUGUGAUAAAUAUACACUGUUUUUGUAAGUAUAAAUUUUUGCAGCUAUUUACAGUACAAUUUUGGCAGUGUCUAUUAGAGUGAAAAAUAAUGUCUCCUCUGACUCAGCAAUUCAUUUCUGUUUCUACCUUAAGGAUGCACUUGCAUGUGCCCUGUAUGAAAGUACAAGCAUGUUAACUGCAGCAGUGUUAGUUACAGGCAAAAUUGGAAAUGAACAUCAAAACUGGGAUAAGAGCACCAUGGUAAAUCUGGACUAUGUAGUACUUGCAAAAGAUGCAGAUAAGCCUACGUGUACCAAUGUGGAAAGGUCUGUGAAACAUAUUGUUCACUGCAAAAAAUAACAAUUCCAAAAAAAGAAGUAUAGAUAAAAAAAUUUGGGUAUAAAAUCAACCCACAUACAAAAUAUAGAUCUUUGUAUAGUUGCAUACCUCUCUACAUGUUUGUAUAUGUUUUACAUACGUAUCUAUCUCUAUCUAUCAUCUAUCUCUCUCUCUCUCUAUCUAUCUAUCUCUCUAUCAUCUAUCUAUCUAUCUAUCUAUCAAGAGAUUGAUUUCAAUUCAAAGUAAAGUAACAGUAUAUUUGGAUGCAGAGCAAACAUAAGAGUGGCCUCCUCUACAAAAGGGACUCAAGAUAGAAAUCUGAAAAGCACAGAAAACUACAAAGGUAAAAAUAAACAACUAUAUUCCUAUGGUACCUUCUUUUAGCAUUUUUCUCUAUAUCCUUCCAGCCAUUUUUCUAUAUAGGUAUAGGGCAAGUUGGAAGUCUUGAUCUGCAGCAAAGGACCUUAUUUUAGAGGCAAAAAAUAUAUUAGUGUUAGUGAAUAGAUGUAGAAGAAAUUGAAAUCUGUGAACUCUGAGAAUUCAGGGGACGAUGUACCGAUCACUGACACCUUGGGGAGAAACAGACAAUGGGGAGAUAAACUGUGAAAUGUGCCCAUUGCUGGAACUUGAAGAGUGGAUGAGGAGUUUGAUGGAAUGGUAUGGAGGGGCCAAAUGCCACUGAAUCACUCAGGCACCCUCCUCCCCCAGUCACCUUAAUCAUGCCCUGUUUAUACAAACAAUAGCACAAUGAGAAAAAUGUAGAUACAACUGGAGGAACCCACCCAGGAAAAGUGUUUGGUAGAGUUUUGCAGAAGAUAGGAUAAGAUCUAGAGGAGAAGAAUUGGAAUUAUAAAUACAGUGGUUAAUUCUAGGCUCUACAUGUGUGGGAAUUUGGGCCAAUUUUGCUUUUAUAUUUCCCAGGGGAAAAAUGUCUGUUUCAACUAUAUUUUCAAAUUUAUUAUUAUAAAGUUUUUCAUAGUGUUAAUAUCUUCUUGAAAUUUUCAAACAUCAUACUUAUCCACGUGUCAGGAUUUUUUGGUUUUUAAUGUUAUUUGUUUCUUAUCCUUCUUGAUCCUAUUUGCCUAGGGUUUAUCUGUUUUAUGAGUCAUUUCAAAGAACAAGUUUUGGUUUUGCUGAUUAACUCAUUUCUGGGGAGGGAAAAUGUUUUUCAUUAAUUACAGUUUCUAGCUUAUAUUUUGUUCUUUCGAAUUUCGUUGGGUUUAUUUUCUUCCAUUUCCCUGUCCACUAAUGGGAUUUUGGAUUUCCUCUUCUCUGCAUUGCCUGUACAUUGCCUGGAGGCAGCAACGCAUAUGGCUAAUAAAACAUAUUGAGGAUGAAUGAGAAAACAACCUGGUUCCUGGAAGGAGAGAAACAAGGUGGAGUCUUCUCACAGAAACAAGGAGAAGGUCAGAGAGACCUCCGGGAGCAUCUCAUCUUGGAGACACCACAAGCUCAAGAGGCUGCAUUAGCGUUUUUUAUUGGAGGCAUUUUCUUUUCCUCCAGAUUUUGUUUUUGACUGUUAAGGUCAUAGCUACAAACAAUUGAUCAAGCCUAAAAGGGCAUUUAUAAACCACCUGCAUCUACAUUUUUUUCUUACUGUGGAUGGAUUUAAAAAGCCGUUUCAAGAUGAAAUCUUAUGAGUCAUUAUCAUGUCUUCUGAGGGCUGAGAUAUAACUUUGAAGUAGAGCCCAAACAUGAAGAUCAUGAAGAUGGCUUCUUCUCCAAAUGAUGUUAUCUUAAAAACUUGAAAAAGACAAAAAAAAAAAAAAAAAAAAAGAAGAAGAAAAAGAAAAAAGAAAGAAAAAAAGAGAGAGCGAGCCAAGGGAACUUGAAUCAGACAAACCUGGUUCAAAGUGAUUAUUCAACAAAUGUAAGCUGUUAUCAUCUUGUCCUCCAUCAUUCAAAUAUGUCCUGUAUAGAUCUUCCAUUAAUUUCAAAUAUCUAAUGAUCUACACCAUCAAAUAUUAUGAAGGUGAUGUUUAGCAGGUCAUUGGCUAAGACAGGCUCUACCUCAGUCUCUAAUAGAGAAGGAAAGACAAGUAGCAUUUACUAACACCCACAGUAUGCUUCAUAUUGUUGCCAGAAAUUUCAAAUGCACCAUCUAUUGAUGCAUGGAAUCCUUUCAACAUUCUUAGAAGACAAGACCUCCACCCUCUGCAAAACAUCUUCCCAGGAUUAUGGGAAGUGCCCAAGAUGUGGUCACGGGUGUACCACAGCCAGUUGGCUUCUGUGGUACUCUGCCGCUGCGCCUGCCUCCACUUCUGUGGUUCAUCCCCAACUCCCAUGGAAGUUGGAGCACUUUCACGGAACCCUGCGGUUCUUUCCAACAUGCAGCAGCCACCAGCCACAGUCACCUGCAACCACAAAUCAGCAAAGCCCCACAGCCCCGAAUCUCCACUGAGGUUUGUAAUGAAGUGGGACUUCAAGUUUAAGUCUUUCUCCGAGGCUAUUACGGCCUGCCAGUAGGGGCUCUCCAUGUGCACUGCUCAAACCAUUAUGCUCUAUAACUGUUUUCAGUGUAAGGCUCUUUACGCUUUGUUAGUAAUCUCUUGCUCUCCGGAGCCCAGAGAGUGACAGAUUCGUAACAGACCCCUGUUCACUCCUCGUUGCCUCUCCCCUGUGCUGAGAGGGCUUCUCAUUGGCUCAGGUGCAUCCCCUGUGCUGCUUCUCCCCUCAGGAUGCCCUCUUCAUCUAGAGGUUUCUCCAGGGAACCUGCCUGGCUCACUCACCUAACAAGCUAAGAAAUGUCUGAACCGUCUUUAAAUUCAAGCCAGGAGCCUAGAAGUAGUCCUAGGGAAAACGAAACAAAACAAAACAAAACAAAACAAAACCAACAAACAAACAAACACGACUGGAAAGAAAUACAUGGAGAAGUUAACAGGAGGGCUCCUUGGAGAGAUGGUUAAUUCUGGGGCUGGCCUGGGAAGGAUGAGAUGAGGCUGAAGCACCUUGCUGUGCCGGAACAUCAGGACGUGCUCAAAAAGUGAUGAGGCCAGGGCCUGAUGGAAGAGGCUCCCAGCAACCAAACCUGCCAAGGUUUGAGCACCAAAAAAACAGCAACAGUGAUUCUAUAACCCAUGAGAAUAAAAGAAUCAGUCCAUGAUGACAUAGGUAAGUAAAUAAAGAGAAAUACAUAGAAAGCUUCUUUUUACAGUAGAAUUUCAACUAAUAAAUAUCCAAGAGAUGAUGGGGAAAAUGUUGAAGUGGUUUAUCACAUAGAUGAGACCAUGGAUUUUUUUUCUUUUUUCUGAUCACCCUUUCUAAUUAUUUUUAUUUUUUUGCAAUGAAUAAUUGCUUGUAUAAUAAAAAUGCAAAAAGUCACCUGCAGUAGAUCGCCUGUGAAGUUAUAUUCUUAUUGUAUCUCUCAUGAGCGACAUUUGUCUCCUACUUUUAUGCUAAUGAAUUUUUGAUAGGCCCUAUCUUGCAUUUCUUUUUCCUAUUUACGUAUUUUAGAAAGAGGACAGCACAGGUGCUUCCCAGCAGGGCCACCCUGCACAAAGGCACCCAGUAGGCUGCAGAGUGAGGCUGAAAGUUAACCCCUGAUCUUUGCGUUAAACUGUGACGACUGGUGCACGGUUGCAUCUGCCCAUAAGGCCACUGUUUCCUAACUCACACAUGAUUCUGUCCUAGCUGCUGUGUCCUUCAAAAUAGUCUGUGUGGGUUUACCUGGUUGCUGCUAGAAUUCUUCUUUUUGAUCUCAAGGUCAAAGCCUGGUGGCAUGAACAGCAUUACCUGUUCAGCCGUGCGUCACUAAAGGUGUGAGGAGGUUGAGAUCAAGAGCAGUCUAGUUAGGAAGUGUCAUCUCUUCAAGUUUCCUCCCCUGAGUUUGUUGAACUUGCAGGGCAUGAGGUCACCUUCCUCAUCUGAUUUUCCCAUUCUCUAUUCCAAAUACAUGGCAUGGCUGUGGCCAGAUUCUUGCCACUCUAGGAGGUGAGUGGAAGGAUGUCCAGUUGCUUUAGGAAACUGUUCUUCCAUCACUGAGAAGCCAGGCCAGCUCACAAUUUAUGUUUCAUGAGGAUUACUUGUUCUUUCAGAAGUCACUGACAAAUGUUGGUCCCUACUGGCAAUGAGGUAGCUCUGCAUCUUUUCUCAGAACCACUCUGACAGGUAACUCUUGCCUCUCUCUAAUUCAGAGAUGUUGGUGAAAUACUCCUCUGCUCCGUUUACUCUGCAUCACUUUCUAGGAAAGAAAAGUGAUGAGUCAGCUCUUGACACUGUGCCUUCAGUGUGAUCCCCCUACAUUCUAGAAAACAGCAAUGCCUCAAAGCUGAUUCUCAACGCUGCUACAGGCUUUUUCUCUAUUUGGGGUUUCUAUUGAUUCUUUCCGUCAUUAUCUUUCCUAAAAGGGCAGCGUAUAAAGGGGAAUAGUUGCACAAAGGGGUAUUUUAAGAAUAAUUCGCCUUUAGGUGUGUGCUUCCAGAAGACACUGGUGGAGAAACUACUUCUGUGGGAGAAAAAGUACAGUGGCCUCUAGGGUGAGAACUCAAGGUGUCAGCAGCACCUACAUAAAGCAAGACACCAGCCAUGUGCCACCACACUGCCACCAGGAGACAGGUCCUGCUUGUGUUGAUCCCUGGUGACAUGACCAGAACCAAAACAAACGAACAAACAAACAAACAAACAACCUUAAAGUAGGUAAAGAUCUUGAAGGUGGCAAAAUGAUGCCAAUCCAAGAAGAAACCAAUUCCUAAUGUGAAAUGGAUACACUGACCCUGCCAACCAAGGGCAUUGUCUUUCCCAGUUUGAACAAAACCACAAUCCAUUAACUCCAGUAUUGAUGAUUUUCUUCUAUUCUAGGCCCUGAGCUCUUUUUGGGUCAACUGCAGCUGCAACUCUAGAGCGACAAUAAGGAUGUGUUUGAGGUGCUGAGGGAGGAGGAGGAUGGAGUGAGAAGGUGACAACAUUCAGCCAGGUGCCCCCAAAACAUGGAGGCAAGAGAAAGAGAAUUUGUCCAAGUGCAAGGUCUGCAGGCAGUGCAGGGCAGCUACCAGCAGGGCCCAUUUUUAUGGGAUUGUGAAAGGUGAUUCUGGAAAGGCAGGCAGCAGCUACAACAUGAAAGAUCUUUGGACUGUGUCUGUAUAUGAUAAGAAGUCAAAGAAGUAUCUUUAAAACAAGAGGAGCAAAGAGAGCUCAUCCUGGUAACAGAUGGAGGGUUAGGCUUGCCUAAGUUUACAGAAGUAGGUAAUGACAGGGCUAAGAGAGAACUCAGCUCAUUUUAAUUCCAUAUUGCUUAUCUUUCUCUUGUGCUUUGCAGUGUGUGUGUGUAUGUGUGUGUGUGCGUGUGUGUAGGGAGGAGGGGUGAGAUUGGCAAAAGUUGAGCCAGAUUAUACUGAUUAAUUAGUUCAACACCCAUUUUGCUGAGAGCAUACCGUGCCCACAGUGCUGAGUUGAGCAAACUUAAGAGGUGAUAUGAAAGGAGCAAAAGUGCUUAAAAAUCUGGGAAAGGGUAUCCAUCCCUGGUGCAUUGGUUUUGAUUAUUCCUCAGCUAUAUAAACAUCCAAAGAGAUGACCUCAUAUAUUCCACAGGCAUGACCGAAGAUUAUGGCACAGAUGUUCUGAAAUAAACAAUGUUAGUGCAAGCACAUAGCUGCACAGUCCUGUAAUGGUCCCGAGAAGAGCUUAGACCAUUUUUUUAAAAAACAUAAACCACAAGUUAAGGCUAAAUCAGAAAGAAAAUAGAAACCUUUCUUCAUCUGCUCUGUUCUUGGUUUCAUGUUUUAUAGAUGGCCUGGGAAGCCCUCUGCACGCCUUUCUCAACUAAGGAAUUUGUGGAAGUAGAAUUUCUUCUGUUGACAGAAUUCUGCUGAGAACUGAAUUUUCUGCUGUUUUCAUUACUCUUUUCUAAAUGUUUCACAGUUCUGUUUUUUUUACAGCCAGAUUUCCAUUUGAUACUGGUUGUGGUUACACUAAAAGUAACAUCUAUGGCCAAAUGGCUGGAAAUUUUACAUUUUUGACACCGAGAUUUUUCCUGUACUUCACGGAGGGCAAGGGUUAUACCCUAUUUUUUCCCAGUCUCCCACAGUGCCCAACCCAGACGACCGUACAUAAUAAGCGCUUUAUUCUCAGCACUGCUGUAUGCCUCAUUGGAACAGGAUGCCCAAGGUGAUGGCUGCAGAAAUGGAUGGAUUGGAGCGUGACUUGCCAAGACAGGUAUGUAGAAAUUAUUGUGGAGUGACGUGGCAUGAUCUCAGCUUACUGCAGCCUCAACCUCCCGGGCACAGGUGAUUCUCCAACCUCAGCCUUGGAGUAGC
rnacentral:lncRNA from 1 species